UACAGAGGGUGCAAGCGUUAAUCGGAAUUACUGGGCGUAAAGCGUGCGCAGACGGUUGCGUAAGUCAGAUGUGAAAUCCCCGGGCUCAACCUGGGAAUGGCAUUCGGGACUGCAAGGCUGGAGUGCGGCAGAGGAGACUGGAAUUCCUGGUGUAGCAGUGAAAUGCGUAGAGAUCGGAGGAACACCAGAGGCGAAGGCGGCGACCUGGACAGGCACUGACACUCAACUGCGAAAGCGUGGGAGCAAACAGG
rnacentral:rRNA from 1 species